GCUUGCUGCGUGUAUGGUUAGUGGCAGACGGGUGAGUAAUGCAUAGGAAUCUACCUAGUAGUAUGGGAUAGCCACUAGAAAUGGUGGGUAAUACUGUAUAAUCCCUGCGGGGGAAAGAUUUAUCGCUAUUAGAUGAGCCUAUGUCAGAUUAGCUAGUUGGUGGGGUAAUGGCCUACCAAGGCGGUGAUCUGUAGCUGGUCUGAGAGGAUGAUCAGCCACACUGGAACUGAGACACGGUCCAGACUCCUACGGGAGGCAGCAGUGGGGAAUAUUGGACAAUGGGCGCAAGCCUGAUCCAGCUAUGCCGCGUGAGUGAGGAAGGCCUUAGGGUUGUAAAACUCUUUCAGUAGGGAAGAUAAUGACGGUACCUACAGAAGAAGUCCCGGCAAACUCCGUGCCAGCAGCCGCGGUAAUACGGAGGGGGCAAGCGUUGUUCGGAUUUAUUGGGC
rnacentral:rRNA from 1 species